AGUGGCAGACGGGUGAGUAACAUGUAGGUAUCUGCCCUUUGGCCUGGAAUAACACGAGGAAACUUGUGCUAAUACCGGAUAAGUCUUUACGGAGAAAGCUUUAUGCACCAUUGGAUGAGCCUGCACUUGAUUAGUUUGUUGGUGGGGUAAUGGCCUACCAAGACUGUGAUCAAUAGCUGAUUUGAGAGGAUGAUCAGCCACAUUGGGACUGAGACACGGCCCAAACUCCUACGGGAGGCAGCAGUGGGGAAUCUUGCACAAUGGAGGAAACUCUGAUGCAGCGAUGCCGCGUGAGUGAAGAAGGCCUUUGGGUUGUAAAGCUCUUUCGUCGGGGAAGAAAAUGACUGUACCCGAAUAAGAAGGUCCGGCUAACUUCGUGCCAGCAGCCGCGGUAAUACGAAGGGACCUAGCGUAGUUCGGAAUUACUGGGCUUAAAGAGUUCGUAGGUGGUUGAAAAAGUUAGUGGUGAAAUCCCAGAGCUUAACUCUGGAACUGCCAUUAAAACUUUUCAGCUAGAGUAUGAUAGAGGAAAGCAGAAUUUCUAGUGUAGAGGUGAAAUUCGUAGAUAUUAGAAAGAAUACCAAUUGCGAAGGCAGCUUUCUGGAUCAUUACUGACACUGAGGAACGAAAGCAUGGGUAGCGAAGAGGAUUAGAUACCCUCGUAGUCCAUGCCGUAAACGAUGAGUGUUAGACGUUGGAAAUUUAUUUUCAGUGUCGCAGCGAAAGCGAUAAACAC
rnacentral:rRNA from 1 species